rnacentral:snoRNA from 1 species
UCUUCGGCAGUGAUGAUACAAACUUUCAGCUUUAAACGCCAGUUCUGCUUCUGAUAAUUCAUGACAGAUAAAGCUGAUUCAGAUCUGAGCCAAUUG